UCUGAGAGGAUGAUCCCCCAUACUGGUACUGAGACACGGACCAGACUCCUACGGGAGGCAGCAGUGAGGAAUAUUGCGCAAUGGAGGAAACUCUGACGCAGCCAUGCCGCGUGAAGGAUGACGGCCCUAUGGGUUGUAAACUUCUUUUCUGCUUCAAGAAACAGUCGUACGUGUACGGCUUUGACGGUAGAGCAGGAAUAAGCAUCGGCUAACUCCGUGCCAGCAGACGCGGUAAUACGGAGGAUGCAAGCGUUAUCCGGAUUCAUUGGGUAUAAAGCGUGCGCAGGCGGGUGGGUAAGUCAGAGGUGAAAGCCCGCAGCUUAACUGUGGAAUUGCCUUUGAUACUGCUCACCUUGAGUCCAGCUGAGGUAGGCGGAAUGUAGUAUGUAGCGGUGAAAUGCUUAGAUAUACUACAGAACAACCGAUUUGCGAAAGGCAGCUUACCAAACUGGCACUGACGCUCAGGCACGAAAGCGUGGGGAGCGAACAGGAUUAGAUACCCUGGUAGUCCACGCCGUAAACGUUGAUCACUCGUUGUUGGCAAUACACCGUCAGCGACCUAGCUAAUGCGCUAAGUGAUCCACCUGGGGAGUACGAUCGCAAGGUUGAAACUCAAAGGAAUUGGCGGGGGCCCGCACAAGCGGAGGAGCAUGUGGUUUAAUUCGAUGAUACGCGAGGAACCUUACCUGGGCUUAAAUGUAGUGUGCAUUCCCGUGAAAACGGGACUUCCUUCGGGACCCACUACAAGGUGCUGCAUGGUUGUCGUCAGCUCGUGCCGUGAGGUGUCGGGUUAAGUCCCAUAACGAGCGCAACCCCUAUCUUUAGUUGCUAACAGGUCAUGCUGAGGACUCUAAAGAAACUGCCCGCGCAAGCGGUGAGGAAGGUGGGGAUGACGUCAAAUCAGCACGGCCCUUAUGUCCAGGGCUACACACGUGCUACAAUGGCAGGUACAGUGGGCAGCUAUCACGCAAGUGAAUGCUAAUCUCUAAAACCUGUCUCAGUCCGGAUUGGAGUCUGCAACCCGACUCCAUGAAGCUGGAUUCGCUAGUAAUCGCACAUCAGCCAUGGUGCGGUGAAUACGUUCCCGGGCCUUGUACACACCGCCCGUCAAGCCAUGGAAGCUGGGAGUACCUGAAGUCUGUAACCGUAAGGAGC
rnacentral:rRNA from 1 species